GAGAAAUGGCUGAGUGGUUAAAGCAUUGGUUUGCUAAACCAACUGUUCAUAAUAGAGCAGCAUAGGUUCGAUUCCUAUUUUCUCCG
rnacentral:tRNA from 1 species